GCUUGACUUCAUAACCCCAAAGUUCUCUUAACUUAGCCUUUUUUGUCUCUAAUUGGCACUCAGGGGUCUCAGAAUGCAGAUCCUGAGGCAGGAAUGCCUCUGGAAUAAGGAGCUCUGGCCUUUCAUUGGAGAGAAUUCUGCGUGGAGGAGCUUUGAUGAUGGGCCCUCAGCACCAGCUUAAGCUGUGUGAUUCCCCAGGACAUCUGGGGAGUCUUUGUUGGAAGAUGUACCAGGUAUUAGUAGUUGUGAUGAAAAUUCUCACCUCUCCUGCCCCGUGGCUGCUUUCAGUUUCCGUUGAGUCCUGCUGCUCCAGCCCAAGCAGCUCCAAGUGCAGAUGCAAAGUGGGAUGGACG